rnacentral:rRNA from 1 species
AAUCAACGCUGGCGGCGUGCCUCAGACAUGCAAGUCGAACGAUUAAAGCUCUCUUCGGAGAGUGCAUAAAGCGGCGCACGGGUGAGUAACACGUAAGUAAUCUACCUUCGAGUGGGGAAUAACGUCCGGAAACGGACGCUAAUACCGCAUAAUGCAGCGGCACCUAAUGGUGACAGUUGUUAAAGAAUUUAUUCGCUUGAAGAGGAGCUUGCGGCAGAUUAGCUAGUUGGUAAGGUAAUGGCUUACCAAGGCUUCGAUCUGUAACCGGUCUAAGAGGACGGUCGGUCACACUGACACUGAAUAACGGGUCAGACUCCUACGGGAGGCAGCAGUCGGGAAUUUUGGGCAAUGGGCGAAAGCCUGACCCAGCAACGCCGCGUGAAGGAUGAAGUAUUUCGGUAUGUAAACUUCGAAAGAAUGGGAAGAAUCAAUGACGGUACCAUUUAUAAGGUCCGGCUAACUACGUGCCAGCAGCCGCGGUAAAAC